UGAGGAAUAUUGGUCAAUGGACGAGAGUCUGAACCAGCCAAGUAGCGUGGAAGGAUGACUGCCCUAUGGGUUGUAAACUUCUUUUAUAUGGGAAUAAAAUGUUCCACGUGUGGGAUUUUGUAUGUACCAUAUGAAUAAGGAUCGGCUAACUCCGUGCC
rnacentral:rRNA from 1 species